rnacentral:rRNA from 1 species
AUUGAACGCUGGCGGCAGGCUUUACACAUGCAAGUCGAACGAGUGGCGGACGGGUGAGUAAUGUCUGGGAAACUGCCUGCUGGCGGGGGAUAACUACUGGAAACGGUGGCUAAUACCGCAUACUAUCGGAUGUGCCCAGAUGGGAUUAGCUAGUAGGGGGGGAAAAGGCUCCCCUAGGCAAAGAUCCCUAGCUGGUCUGAGAGGAUGACCAGCCACACUGGGACUGAGACACGGUCCAGACUCCUACGGGAGGCAGCAGUGGGGAAUAUUUCACAAUGGGCGCAAGCCUGAUGCAGCCAUGCCGCGUGUAUGAAGAAGGCCUUCGGGUUGUAAAGUACUUUCGGCAGGGAGGCGUUACCCGCAGAAGAAGCACCGGCUAACUCCGUGCCAGCAGCCGCGGUAAUAC